rnacentral:rRNA from 1 species
UACGUAGGGACCAAGCGUUGUCCGGAAUCAUUGGGCGUAAAGAGCGUGUAGGCGGCUUGUUAAGUCUUGCGUGAAAUCUCGGGGCUCAACCCCGAGCGGUCGUGAGAAACUGGCAGGCUAGAGUGCGGGAGAGGAGAGUGGAAUUCCUGGUGUAGCGGUGAAAUGCGCAGAUAUCAGGAGGAACACCAAUGGCGAAGGCAGAUCUCUGGGCCGUAACUGACGCUGAGGAGCGAAAGCAUGGGGAGCGAACAGG